GACGAACGCUGGCGGCGUGCUUAACACAUGCAAGUCGAACGGAAAGGCCCUGCUUUUGUGGGGUGCUCGAGUGGCGAACGGGUGAGUAACACGUGAGUAACCUGCCCUUGACUUUGGGAUAACUUCAGGAAACUGGGGCUAAUACCGGAUAGGAGCUCCUGCUGCAUGGUGGGGGUUGGAAAGUUUCGGCGGUUGGGGAUGGACUCGCGGCUUAUCAGCUUGUUGGUGGGGUAGUGGCUUACCAAGGCUUUGACGGGUAGCCGGCCUGAGAGGGUGACCGGCCAAACUGGGACUGAGAUACGGCACAGACUCGUACGGGAGGCAGCGGUGGGGAAUAGUGCAUUAUGGGCGGAAGCCUGAUGCAGUAACGCCGCGUGCGGGAUGACGGCCUUCGGGUUGUAAACCGCUUUCGCCUGUGACGAAGCGUGAGUGACGGUAAUGGGUAAAGAAGCACCGGCUAACUACGUG
rnacentral:rRNA from 1 species